rnacentral:rRNA from 1 species
AAUCCCGUGAACCAUCGAGUCUUUGAACGCAAGUUGCGCCCGAAGCCCUCGGGCCGAGGGCACGCCUGCCUGGGCGUCACGCAUCGCGUCGCCCCCUCCCCCGCUCCCCGGAGCGGGGGGUGGAGAUUGGCCUCCCGUGCGCCCAGUCGUGCGGCCGGCCC